rnacentral:tRNA from 1 species
GACUUCGUAGCUCAGCUGGUAGAGCGCUCGCAGCGUUGAGGUAUGCUGUGUCUAUGGUUGGUUCGAAUCCAGCCGAAGCCC